UGCCCAGGUGGCGAAAUCGGUAGACGCAAGGGACUUAAAAUCCCUCGGCUUAUGCCGUGCCGGUUCGAGUCCGGCCCUGGGCACCAU
rnacentral:tRNA from 1 species